rnacentral:rRNA from 1 species
GAGGUGUGGCUUCCGGAGCUAACGCGUUAAGUCGACCGCUGGGGAGUACGGCCGCAAGGUUAAACUCAAAUGAAUUGACGGGGGCCCGCACAAGCGGUGGGCAGUGGUUUAAUUCGAUGCAACGCGAAGAACUUACCUGGUCUUGACAUCCAGGUGCUGCAUGGCUGUCGUCAGCUCGUGUUGUGAAAUGUUGGGUUAAGUCCCGCAACGAGCGCAACCCUUAUCCUUUGUUGCAACUCAAAGGAGACUGCCAGUGAUAAACUGGAGGAAGGUGGGGAUGACGUCAAGUCAUCAUGGCCCUUACGACCAGGGCUACACACGUGCUACAAUGGCGCAUACAAAGAGAAGCGACCUCGCGAGAGCAAGCGGACCUCAUAAAGUGCGUCGUAGUCCGGAUUGGAGUCUGCAACUCGACUCCAUGAAGUCGGAAUCGCUAGUAAUCGUGGAUCAGAUGCCACGGUGAAUACGUUCCCGGGCCUUGUACACACCGCCCGUCACACCAUGGGAGUGGGUUGCAAAAGAAGUAGGUUACCACUUUGUGAUUCAUGACUGGGGUGAAGUCGUAACAAGGUAACCGA